rnacentral:rRNA from 1 species
UACGAAGGGGGCUAGCGUUGUUCGGAAUCACUGGGCGUAAAGCGCACGCAGGCGGAUUGAUAAGUCAGGGGUGAAAUCCCGGAGCUCAACUUCGGAAUUGCCUUUGAUACUGUCAAUCUCGAGUCCGGGAGAGGUGAGUGGAAUUCCUAGUGUAGAGGUGAAAUUCGUAGAUAUUAGGAAGAACACCAGUGGCGAAGGCGGCUCACUGGCCCGGCACUGACGCUCAUGUGCGAAAGCGUGGGGAGCAAACAGG